CAAGUCGAACGAUGACUUUUGUGCUUGCACAAAAUGAUUAGUGGCGAACGGGUGAGUAACACGUGAGUAACCUGCCCUUAACUUCGGGAUAAGCCUGGGAAACCGGGUCUAAUACCGGAUACGACGGAGCACCGCAUGGUGGUCCGUGGAAAGCUUUAUGCGGUUUUGGAUGGACUCGCGGCCUAUCAGCUAGUUGGUUGGGGUAACGGCCCACCAAGGCGACGACGGGUAGCCGGCCUGAGAGGGUGACCGGCCACACUGGGACUGAGACACGGCCCAGACUCCUACGGGAGGCAGCAGUGGGGAAUAUUGCACAAUGGGCGAAAGCCUGAUGCAGCGACGCCGCGUGAGGGACGAAGGCCUUCGGGUUGUAAACCUCUUUCAGCAGGGAAGAAGCGAAAGUGACGGUACCUGCAGAAGAAGCGCCGGCUAACUACGUGCCAGCAGCCGCGGUAAUACGUAGGGCGCAAGCGUUAUCCGGAAUUAUUGGGCGUAAAGAGCUCGUAGGCGGUUUGUCGCGUCUGCUGUGAAAGCCCGGGGCUCAACCCCGGGUCUGCAGUGGGUACGGGCAGACUAGAGUGCAGUAGGGGAGACUGGAAUUCCUGGUGUAGCGGUGAAAUGCGCAGAUAUCAGGAGGAACACCGAUGGCGAAGGCAGGUCUCUGGGCUGUAACUGACGCUGAGGAGCGAAAGCAUGGGGAGCGAACAGGAUUAGAUACCCUGGUAGUCCAUGCCGUAAACGUUGGGCACUAGGUGUGGGGGACAUUCCACGUUUUCCGCGCCGUAGCUAACGCAUUAAGUGCCCCGCCUGGGGAGUACGGCCGCAAGCUAAAACUCAAGAAUUGACGGGGCCCGCACAGCGCGAGCAUGCGAUUAUUCGAUGCACGCGAGACUACUAUGCUGACAUGACUGAAGCUGGAACAGUCCCCACUGUGCGGUACAGUGUGCAUGUGUCGUCAGCUCUGUCGUGAAUGUGGUUAGUCCCACGAGCACCCGUCUUUGUGCAGCCGUAUGGCGGAACCUAGGAACUGGCGGUA
rnacentral:rRNA from 1 species